rnacentral:rRNA from 1 species
CACGUAGGCGGCUUGGUAAGCGGUCUGUGAAAUCCCGGGGCUCAACCCCGGAACUGCAGACCGAACUGCCGAGCUAGAGGACGAGAGGGGACUGUGGAACUCUAGGUGGAGCGGUGAAAUGCGUAGAUAUCUAGAGGAACACCGGUGGCGAAGGCGACAGUCUGGCUCGUUUCUGACGCUGAGGUGCGAAAGCGUGGGUAGCAAACA